AGAGUUUGAUCAUGGCUCAGGAUGAACGCUGGCGGCGUGCCUAACACAUGCAAGUCGUACGAGCUCGAUCUUCGGAACGGGUUAGUGGCGCACGGGUGAGUAACACGUAGGUGACCUACCCCAGAUGGGGGAUAACUUCUCGAAAGAGAGGCUAAUACCGCAUACACUCGGUCAUUCAUUUGGCCGAGCAAAGCUCCGGCGCUUUGGGACGGGCCUGCGUCCGAUUAGCUAGUUGGUAGGGUAAUGGCUUACCAAGGGCUUUGAUCGGUAGCUGGUCUGAGAGGACGAUCAGCCACACUGGCACUGACACACGGGCCAGACUCCUACGGGAGGCAGCAGUGAGGAAUAUUGGCAAUGGGCGAAAGCCUGACCCAGCAACGCCGCGUGAGGGAUGAAGGCCUUCGGGUUGUAAACCUCUUUCUGGGAGAAGAGACAAGGACGGUAUCCCAGGAAUAAGUCUCGGCUAACUACGUG
rnacentral:rRNA from 1 species